AUUGAACGCUGGCGGCAGGCCUAACACAUGCAAGUCGAACGAGUGGCGGACGGGUGAGUAAUGUCUGGGAAACUGCCCGAUGGAGGGGGAUAACUACUGGAAACGGUAGCUAAUACCGCAUACCAUCGGAUGUGCCUAGAUGGGAUUUGUUAGUAGGUGGGGUAACGGCUCACCUAGGCGACGGUCCCUAGCUGGUCUGAGAGGAUGACCAGCCACACUGGAACUGAGACACGGUCCAGAGUCCUACGGGAGGCAGAAGUGGGGAAUAUUGCACAAUGGGCGCAGGCCUGAUGCAGCACUGCCGGGUGUAUGAAGAGGGCCUUCGGGUUGUAAAGUACUUUCAGCGAGGAGGCGUUACUCGCAGAAGAAGCACCGGCUAACUCCGUGCCAGCAGCCGCGGUAAUAC
rnacentral:rRNA from 1 species